CUGGGUUCUGGGUUCCUCCUGCCUCCUGCGUGUGGUGAGUGAGGAACUCUGUUGCAACAGAUCAAUAAAGAUCAGGCUUACGAGCUGCUUUGCUUCUCAGUAUUCUCUGCUUGGCCUCUGUUAUUUUUCUCCGACCGAUGGAGAACCUGCAAAGGACUCUAUAAGGGCUCUUGUGUCCCCCAUAAGGGAAUAAGGGCAGAUUUCCAUUUAUUACAGAAUCAAAUAGACUGCCUCUGGAGCUGGAGGCUCCCUCUUCUGUCCAUCGCUCCCACCGCAGGGGGUUGGCCUAGAUGUUUCUUGGGGGGGAUGGAUCUCUCCCAACUCGAAUGUUCUGUGAUUCUGCAGCUCCCUGUCUCUUCCAUGGUCCCUGUAAUGCUAAAAUUAACAUGUUUCUGAUUCGCAGUUUCCUGCAGAAAUGGUCCCUUGUGGGGAAGAAGGGAAGGCUUGAUUUAAAGUAGCUAAGCUGCUUUUUAUUUGGGGUGGGAGUGGAGAAGACGCAUUUUCCAGCCCCCCCCCCCUGCUUCCUGGGCCAACACCUCCUGCCUUGCCAGUAGCUCUUUGGCAAGGUGCCUCAGACGGGACCAAAAAAGUGCUGAGUAAAAACUCAAGAGGAACAAAUAAGUAAAUGGUGUGCUAUAUUUUUGUUUUAUUGAUCCGGCUCCCGAGGAGAUGCUGGAGGCCCAAUAAGCAGCGGGAGAAGAUCAAGGAGGUAGGGAGGAAGCCAGGAGGCUCUGAAGAUGUGCCAGAAGGAGAACCUACAAGUAGGGGUCCUAAAUGGCCCAGUGGGACCCAAAAUACCGAGUUGGAAGAGUGGUUUUUAAAAAAGGAAGCAGCAGAUGGGAACCUCUGAGAGCCAGAGACACCAGCCAGGAGGCUUCAUAGGAACACCCGGCUUAGAAGCUGGAUCCGGCCAAAGGGGGCCCAUCUAGCUCAGCAUCCUGUUUCCAGUGGCCAGGUAACCCAAAGAACCCAGGAACCCAGAUAGACUGCCUCUGGACCUGGAGGUUCCAUCAGAACAUAAAGAGGCCUGUUGCCCAGUGGGGAAGCAGUCAGGAAGAUAAGGGAGGGCCACCCGUGUCCCCAGCCCAGCCCCUUCCCUGCCACUCCGUGGGGCACCUGCUCUUUGGGGUGGGGGCAGCGGCUUCCCACGCCCAGGGGCAGCCAUUUCCCUCCCCCUGGAGAGCCUCACGAGCACCAGGCACUGGCACUGGGUGCAAAAGCAUGUUUGUGUGGGAUAACUGUCCUGCCUUUCCUUAUGGAAAGCUCAGCUCAGCAGAUGACAACCUCAAAAGACCAUUCAGGCAUUUAGGACAGCGAUGGCGAAAAAAUUAAGAUGGCAGAAGCAGGAGAGAAACACUGUUGCAGGAAUUUAUGUAUAGGUGGGGGGGGUUGCCCCUCCAGCAGAUGUCAUGCACAUGCAGCCCACUACCAAAAACAGCACAAUCAUUUUUGUGACUUUUGUGAUUUGUCCCCACAACACACUUCAACACAGUUUCUUCCUAUCCAUUCAAAGGGCCUCUGCUGCACGAUAUCAAAUGUAAGAAUUCACUGAUAAAUGUACCUGUGUACUGGCUCACUGGGAAAACUUCAGAAUUUCCUAUAGACAUGUGAGCUCAGCUGCUCAGCAGCCCCUCUGUCUGAGGGAUAAUCCCUGGCCUCCUGAUACCUGAGUGCCAGACAGGGAGCCAUUCCAGAAAUAACAAACCCAGAUGAAGACAAAAGGGUGGGAUUCACUUGGCUGGGAAACAGGGAAAUGUGAAUGUCUCAUUUGUUACACUUGAUGGGUGUUUGGUGGAGGGCAAGGGGAACCAUGGGGCAGGGUCCAGGAUGCUCAGAUUCCAGCCACCAGACCUCCCCUUUCAUCAUGUAACCAUGAUGUAACCAUGAUGUAGUUUGGGGGGUGUAACAUGGGGAUUAGCAGCUAAUAAAACUUUGGGUUCUCUUUUGUUUGGGGCUUCCAUCUUGUUCCACCUGGUGGCAGGUGGGAGUCCUGUCGCAACAGUCUUCAAUCAAGACCAAGCCGACUGGCUGCUGUUUUGCUCUGGUAAUUCCUGGCUGGGGUCCUUGUUUUUUGUCCAAGGGAGCCCUCAGAUUUCUCUGUUUACACCACUUGGGGCGACCUCUGAGCCCCUCCCCUCCAGCCCCCUCCUUGCCUGAAUCUGCACCCCAAGGCGGUACGAAGAGUUUGCUAAUAAGCAGCUAAUCCAGGUCAGAUGCUGAUGGUGCUGAUUUCGUCCCCGCAAAGGAGCCUGGACGGGGCUGCUGAGCCAAGCAGGGUCUCCCGAGGAUCAGGAUUGAGGCUUCCUAAUUUGUUUGUUAAUGAGACGGAGGGCUGAGCAGUGAGGUGGCCAAGUUUGCUGAGGAAAGCAGAAAAGAGGAAGGAAGGAGCUCCAGAAAGGCAUUUCCCACCAGGGGGGAAGGGGCAGGGAAAUGGCAAAUGCAACUCAACGCAAGGGAGCGGAAAGCCAUGCACACCAGAGAGAGAGGAAGGAAGAAUCUGGAUUUAACACGCAUGCAUUUGGGGGUCUGGACUGGCUGGGAGCAAGGCCUCCAGGUCAUAGCAGAGAGUUCAUGGGCUCCGUUUGCAACAUCUGCGGAAAAGCCCAGUUCCAUGCUAGGGAGGGAAUUGAAAAUAAAACUGCUG